GCCUGCGGUAGAUGCCUCCUCUCCCGCCCUCAGAUGUUAACAUUUCUCUGCCUGCAGCGCAGAACCUGGGUGUGCAGGGCAGGUGUGGAUGAGGCGUGAGUGGCCUCAGGACAGAAGACAGGUCAUUUUGGAAGCAGGGGUAUCGUGUAGUUGAAAGAGUACACAGUUUUUUGUUCAACCACCGGAGCGCACAGUUCUGAGUUAAGCUUGCAUUUUGGCAUUCUGCCCAAGUGCUGCUUCUCUCUGCCUCCCUCCACCCCAUGCAGUCCUGCAGUGUUGGGAGAUUCUCCCUGAGAAGAGAAGAGGCAGAUUCUUGAAGCUCUCCAGGCUCCCACAUGCAUGAUGCUUCAGCUUUGGAUGUCUUCCUCCAGGGCUUCAGGCUUGUGCUGAUGAUGUUCUCAGCCUCCAACCCAUGUUCAGAGCAUCUACUGUGGGCCUGACGAUUCUAGGCAUUGGGCAAGGAAAAGUAAAAUGCUGUAUUUGAUUUUGAUUUUGUAAGGGGUUUGUAGGCUAAUGGAUUGAAGCAAAUGAGUAAACAAAA